AUGCUUAUCCAGCAGGGGAGAUUCCAUGAUCACAAAGAUGGUUUUCCCAGGGCAAGGCUUACCCAUUGCACUCUGGAUGUCCUGACCCCUGCCAUUUCCCCAAAUGUGGGGACCUCAACUACACAAUAUGAGGCAGUGAGGGACUGUGUGCAUGCUCCCCUUU
ensembl:snRNA U1 U1 spliceosomal RNA